AAGGACGUGGUGGUCGGCCACAAACUAUCGCCAUCAUCGCUGUCCCAAUUAUUGGUUUGGUGACAUUUUUUUCCUUCCUGGGUUGCUACCUGCUCAGGAGAAAGUCAAGGAAAAGCAGUCAAGCAGCAGUUCUUAGAGAAAAUUUUGGAGAAGAAGACUCCAGCUUGACUUCCUUACAAUUUAGCUUGGUUACAAUUGAAGCUGCAACAAAUAACUUCUCUGAAGAGAACAAAAUAGGGAAAGGUGGAUUUGGAGAAGUUUACAAGGGCAUUCUUCAUGAUAGGCGAGAAAUUGCUGUAAAGAGACUCUCAAAAUGUUCUAUACAAAGAACAUUAGAAUUCAAGAAUGAAAUUUUACUGAUUGCUAAACUUCAGCACAGAAAUUUAGUCACUUUACUAGGAUUUGUCUUGGAAGAACAUGAGAAAAUUCUUAUUUAUGAAUACGUGCCAAACAAGAGUGUUGAUUUCUUUUUGUUUGGUUUGGAAACAUUGGAAUGAGGGAAUACCAUUACAAGUAUUGGACCCUUUUCUAAUGGAAUCUUCUUGUCAUACUGAAGUUAUCAAAUGCAUGCAUAUUGGGUUAUUGUGUGUUUAGCUAAAUCCAAAUGAUAGGCCAAUGAUGGCUCAGAUUAUUUCGUAUCUUGCUAAUUUUUCCAUUGAAUUACCAUCUCCAAGAGAACCUCCAUUCUUCAUGCAUUACAAUUCAACUGUUGGAGCUGGAUCUAGUUCAUAUUAGACUUCUCAAAAGUUCAAAGAUGACUGUUUCAAAUGAAAUGUCUAGGACUGAACUCUUGCCUCAAUGAUCAAGCUUCAUCUUUUCUAUAUUUAUAUAUCUUUAUGCCAUGGAUCUAAUUCUAUUUGCGUUUUGUUAAUUCUCAUAACACAAAAGAUUUCAACCUGUAGAGAUUAUGGAAUUAUUUAUGAAGAAA